AGGACGAACGCUGGCGGCGUGCUUAACACAUGCAAGUCACGGGGGCCCGUAGCAAUACGGGCAACCGGCGAACGGGUGCGUAACACGUGAGCAAUCUGCCGAUCUCUGGGGGAUAGCCAGCCUAACGGCUGGGUAAUACCGCAUACGCUCGUUGGGGGGAGUCCCCUGAUGAGGAAACCUCCGGGGGAGAUCGAGGAGCUCGCGACCUAUCAGCUAGUUGGCGGGGUAACGGCCCACCAAGGCAGCGACGGGUAGCUGGUCUGAGAGGAUGGCCAGCCACAUUGGGACUGCGACACGGCCCAGACUCCUACGGGAGGCAGCAGUGGGGAAUAUUGCGCAAUGGACGAAAGCCUGACGCAGCGACGCCGCGUGUGGGAUGAAGCCUUUCGGGGUGUAAACCACUGUUGCCCGGGACGAAACUCCUCUUUCGAGAGGAUUGACGGUACCGGGUGAGGAAGCACCGGCUAACUCUGUGCCAGCAGCCGC
rnacentral:rRNA from 1 species